rnacentral:rRNA from 1 species
UACGUAGGGCGCAAGCGUUUAUCCGGAAUUAUUGGGCGUAAAGAGCUCGUAGGCGGUUUGUCGCGUCUGCCGUGAAAGUCCGGGGCUCAACUCCGGAUCUGCGGUGGGUACGGGCAGACUAGAGUGAUGUAGGGGAGACUGGAAUUCCUGGUGGUAGCGGUGAAAUGCGCAGAUAUCAGGAGGAACACCGAUGGCGAAGGCAGGUCUCUGGGCAUUAACUGACGCUGAGGAGCGAAAGCAUGGGGAGCGAACAGG